rnacentral:rRNA from 1 species
GACGGAGGGCGUAAGCGUUGUUCGGAAUUACUGGGCGUAAAGGGAGCGUAGGCGGACAUUUAAGUCAGAGGUGAAAUCCCGGAGCUUAACUUCGGAACUGCCUUUGAUACUGGAUGUCUUGAGUGUGAGAGAGGUAUGUGGAACUCCGAGUGUAGAGGUGAAAUUCGUAGAUAUUCGGAAGAACACCAGUGGCGAAGGCGACACACUGGCUCACUACUGACGCUGAGGCGCGAAAGCGUGGGGAGCAAACAGG